rnacentral:rRNA from 1 species
UGGGGAAUAUUGCACAAUGGGCGCAAGCCUGAUGCAGCAACGCCGCGUGAACGAUGAAGGUCUUCGGAUCGUAAAGUUCCGUUGCAGGGGAAGAUAAUGACGGUACCCUGUGAGGAAGCCCCGGCUAACUACGUGCCAGCAGCCGCGGUAAUACGUAGGGGGCUAGCGUUAUCCGGAUUUACUGGGCGUAAAGGGUGCGUAGGUGGUCUUUCAAGUCGGUGGUUAAAGGCUACGGCUCAACCGUAGUUAGCCUCCGAAACUGGAAGACUUGAGUGCAGGAGAGGAAAGUGGAAUUCCCAGUGUAGCGGUGAAAUGCGUAGAUAUUGGGAGGAACACCAGUAGCGAAGGCGGCUUUCUGGACUGCAACUGACACUGAGGCACGAAAGCGUGGGUAGCAAACAGG